rnacentral:tRNA from 1 species
GGUUCUGUAGCGCAGUGGUAGCGCGCCCGGUUGUCAGCCGGAAGGUCGCGGGUUCAACUCCCGUCAGGACCGC